CAGCACCUCAAGUGGUCAGGAUGAUUAUUGGGCCUAAAGCAUCCGUAGCCGGCGCUAUAAGUUUUCGGUUAAAUCUGUACGCUCAACGCACAGGCUGCCGGGAAUACUGCAGCGCUAGGGAGUGGGAGAGGUAGACGGUACUCGGUAGGAAGGGGUAAAAUCCUUUGAUCUAUUGAUGACCACCUGUGGCGAAGGCGGUCUACCAGAACACGUCCGACGGUGAGGGAUGAAAGCUGGGGGAGCAAACCGGAUUAGAUACCCGAGUAGUCC
rnacentral:rRNA from 1 species